rnacentral:lncRNA from 1 species
UCUGCAUCUCUGCCGGUUGCCCCGUCGGAAUCUGCUCUCUGUGAUCCGGGGCCGCUCUGCGUCUCUGCCGGUUGCCCCGUCGGAAUCUGCUCUCUGUGAUCCGGGGUGCUCUGCAUCUCUGUUUGCCUAAUUGCGACCUGUGCCUAUGCCCUCCGGUCUUCACUGGCCCCUUUGAUGCUUUUCAGCAGAGUCUCCUCAAAGCAGCAGGAUGGAAUGAGAAGCAGUAAUCAGGAUGACGAUGAAGAUGAUGCUAAUGAUGUUCCAAUGUGUACAGUCCUGACUGACCAGAGAACUGCAUGCAGGCCUCUCCCCAGUCUCCCUGGACAGAAAUGGACAAGCAUAUACAGAGGAAACCUCGGGGGGGAGAAAAAAAGUAGG